rnacentral:sRNA from 1 species
CGGACAAGGAGUACAACAUGCCGAAGGACGGCACCGUACACGAGCUCACCAGCAAUGCCAUCCUCUUCCUGCAGCAGCUUUUGGACUUCCAGGAGACGGCAGGCGCCAUGCUGGCCUCCCAAGGUACUGGUACCUCCCAGUUGGGCCCCCUGCCCCACUCGCCUCCUUGCCUGGAGACAUGGGGUUAGAGGGCAGGUAGCAGUGAGGAGGUAUCUCCAGUCUGUGGAGGGGUUGAGGUGUGCUCAGCAGAGGGUCCCUGGGGCUGAGCAUCAGGAGAGCAAGGUUUGCCUGCACCUUUCAAGACCAGACACUGGACCUCUGGCCCCUCCCUCAGCCCCUUUGACCGUCCUCGCCCUGGAAGCAGUGUCCUCACUCUGGGAGCGGUGCUGGCUGGUUGGAAGGUGUCCUUUCUGCCCCUGCCCCCCUCCCAAAUCCUUCUCUCGUGUCUGCCUGCUCUCCUAAUCAGGCUCGCUCAGCUGGCCUUCAGAGGGUAGCAAGUG